AUAGACAAACUCGAGGGACUUCUGGGAUAAGUCCCCCUAGGGCCAAGUUCCUCUGGGCUCAAGUCAUCCUAACUGUAGGCCCCUAACAGAGCCAGAGGUUCCAGUCACAAUGCUUAGGAAAGGGGGAAGCUGUUGCCAACUAUAUAAUGGCUGCUAGAUACCAGAGACCAGGUUACUUUCUUAACAGGAGACUUCCAACAGGUCCAUAAGGGCAUUCCAGUUUUCAUUGGGUGUUUCAGUGGGUAGCACCAAGGAAAGAGGCAUCCUUGCUCAGGGGGAGAUAGAUCAAAGAUUCCUGUCUGGAUCACAGUUGUGGUGGAUAACCAGGAGGGAAAAUCUGAAGCUGGAAAAAGGACUUGUGAGUCAAGAAGACUAGCUCAUAGAUUCUCCAAAUUCCAGUCUCAUUCACGAUGCAGUGAAAAGAGCACUUGAUUCGGCACCAGAGGACAUAGCUUUCCAAAUCAGACUUCCAUCUAGCAUCUGCCUACAAUCCUAAAUGACAUCCAUCGCAAUAAGUCCUCAUCUGCAAUACAACUGGACUUAAACUCUCAAGGUUUCUUCCAAUGCUGAUGUAAGAUUAUCUUCAAUGAAACCAAUUUUAAGUUCCAUGGGAGAGCUGGGGGGAGGAAGCAGAACAGCAUUAGUAUUGAGAGGUGAAAAUAUAAAAUAUACCUUCUUUCCAGUAUCACAUGGUUGGUGAGAUUAAGGUUCAGCAUCAGAAAAAAAAAGGGUUCAACUGAAGUUCAAAAGGCACUCCUAAUGCCAUUGCCUCCCUGGUUUUGAAGUUUAAUAAACAUCGUACUUUUCUUCAGAUGCUUCCUCUGUGCUAGAGAUUAGCA